GGCGCUUACGUUCUUCCUGCAACAUGAGAAGGGAGGGAGGGACUCUCAGCAGGGAUGCAGUCUGGGACACGUAGUUGCAAACCUAGCGACUUUGUUGUUAGAUUCAAUGACUUUUCAGACCCCCUAACGACUUUUUUUUAGAAAGAAAGGGACUUUUAUCGACUUCUUCUGGAGUUUAGAGACUCUGACAUGAAGCAGGCUUUCCUUACUGAGGAGUUAGCAACGCUGCUAAGGGUGCAGAGCCACACAUGCGCUCAGAGCUCUGCAUGGGAGACUGAAGCUGACAGAGCUGCAGCAGUUAGCAGGUUUCACCCUCAGAGACCACCAGGGGUUCAUGUUGAGGCAUUUUCAGUUUUUUUUUUUUGUGCCAUAGACACUGUCAGCACAAUCUGCAGUUACACUAACAAAAAUGCUGCAAAAAACAAAGAAUUAUGGAAAAAUUACACAUGGACUGACAUAGAGGAGGAUCUACACAAGUUUUUUACAUCAUGUUUUACAUCAUGCAUCAUUUACAUCAUGUUUUUUUGUAGUGGCAUGAAUAAAAAGUGACAUUUGUGAGACUAUACAGUGUUUUGUAAAUAAUUUUACAAAGAACGCCUGGGCCAUUGCCUGCAUUUUGAUGUAAAUAGAGGUAAAUUACUAUGUUCUUUGUUAAAAAUUUGCAUAUGUUUUGAAGUUUACAAUUUUUAUUUGAAGUUUAAGUUUUAAAAACAGUUCAUCACACAUAUUUGUGGUUUAAUUUCACAUUAAUUUCCAUAUUGUAUAAAUGACUGGAAAAAACUUGAGCCCCUGCCCCUGUAUAAUCAUGUGCACGUCCCUGUUCUAGCUCCAAGGUGAAUCUUCACUGCUCAUGUUCUCCUCAGAAAUAGUCACCUCACUCCCCUCAGGUUACUGUACACAUGCACCAACUAUCUGCUUCAGGUUUGAAAUGGAGCUUCAUGGUUGUCUUUUGGAGAAAUGAACAGUCAAGUUGUGUUUGAAAUUUGAUUUUUUUCAGGGGCAAAAGGAAGCCUCUGCAUUCUUGUCAAAUAUGUAAACAGCAUGUUUUUGCAGGUGCUAAAAAACAGACUCUGAGUGUGUGUGUGUGUCUGUGUGUGUGUGUGUCUGUGUGUGUGUGUAUGUUGGCGUGUGUGUAUAUGUGUGUGUAUCCUGCAGUACUCUGUACUCCUGCAGUGGCCAAAAAAACCUUUUAAGAAUGUGGAUUUUUGGGUCAUCUUUGGCGCCCCCUAGAACUGCAGUACUCUGUACUCCUGCAGUGGCCAAAAUGACUUUUAAGAAUGUGGAUUUUUGGGUCAUCUUUGGCGCCCCCUAGAACGUAAACCGUGGGGUGCAGCGUCAUGAUUUUUACAACUUUGAAUGGGCAUGGGGUGUAGAUUGCCCUGAGCAAAUUUGGUAUCGGUGGGACGAAAGCCUUAGGAGGAGAUAGCCACAUUCCAAUGUGUGCGAAUCGGCAAAAAAUGCAAAAUAGCCCUUUAACCGUACAUUAUAAAGAUACGCGCUCUUUGACUUUUUCGUAGAUCUAAUUGAGAUACACAUGAUUGUCAAUUUUUGUGUCAAUAUGACAAAGCGUUCAGGUGUGACACUCAACAAUGUGUAUUUUCAUGUAAGGGGACAAGAAAAAAUGGACUUUUUUCUCCUACCAUGGGGGGGCGCUCUUUUGGGGAGUAAAAAUUCCUUCACAAAUGUGUUGAUGGCUGGACAUUGCAUCAUCCUAGAAAACUUGGAGGCCAGUGAGGACAAAAAUAAAAAGUUAUAAAACAUUUAAGAAUGUGGAUUUUUGGGUUAUUUUUGGCGCCCCCUAGAACCUAAACCAUGGGGUGCAGCGUCAUGAUUUGAAUAACUUUUAAUGGCCAUGGGGUGUAGAUUGGCCUGAGCAAAUGUGGUGCCGGUGGAACGAAAGCCUUCGGAGGAGUUAGCGAAAUUCCAAUGUGUGCGUAUCGGCAAAAAAUGCGGAAUAACCCUUUAACUGUACAUUUGACAGAUACGCGCGCAUGGACUUUUUUGUAGAUCUUAUUGAGUUACAUGUGUGUGUCAAUUUUUGUGUCAUUUUGACAAAGCGUAUAGGCGUGACACUCAAGAAUGUGUAUUUUCACCUUAGGGGACAAGAAAAAAUGGACUUUUUUCUCCUGCCAUGGGGGGGCGCUCUUUUGGGGAGUAAAAAUUCCUUCACAAAUGUGUUGAUGGCUGGACAUUGCAUCAUCCUAGAAAACUUGGAGGCCAGUAAGGACAAAAAUAAAAAGUUAUAAGACUUUUAAAUAUGUGGAUUUUAGUGUUAUCUUUGGCGCCCCCUAGAACCUAAACCUUGGGGUGCAGCGUCAUGAUUUUGAUAACUUUUAAUGGCCACGGGGUGUAGAUUGGCCUGAGCAAAUGUGGUGCCGGUGGAACGAAAGCCUUCGGAGGAGUUAGCGAAAUUCCAAUGUGUGCGGAUCGGCAAAAAAUGCGAAAUAACCCUUUGACCGUACAUUUGACAGAUACGGCCGCACUGACUUUUUUGUAGAUCUUAUUGAGAUACAUAUGUGUGUCAAUUUUUGUGUCAAUAUGACAAAGCGUACAGGCGUGACAGUCAAUAGUGUGAAUUUCCACCUUAGGGGGCGCUAUGGAGCCAUUUUGCAUUUUAUUGUUUGGGCGACUUCAGAAUAUCGAAUUUUUCACCAGGCCCGGUCGUCCUGCCAAAUUUCAUGAGUUUUCGCCAGUGGGAAGUGGGCCAUUUUCCAGUUCAAAGGGGAGGAAAAAGAAGAAACUAGGGCCCCGUUGGGGCACUGGCGGGCCCGAGCCGUGUCGCGCCCCCCCCCCCAACGCGCUGCCUCCCCGUCCCAUUCGCAUCCUCUGGCCAUCGACCUCUCUGGUAACGCCCAUCACUGCAAAGACCCUUUUCCUUCAUCGGCGUUUGCUGUUCUUCCUGCCAGUGCGUGUUGCUUUCACUUACACUUGCCACAGCCAGCCUCGUGAGUGCCUAGCCUAUUGGAUAUCACUGUCAUCUACACAGGACAGUCCUUACCUUUCUAUUAAUACUUUGUUUUUUAAUUUCACAUUAAUUUCCAUAUUGUAUAAAGGACUGGAAAAGACUUGAGCCCCUGCCCCUGUAUAAUCAUGUGCACGUCCCUGUUCUGGCUCUAAGGUGAAUCUUCACUGCUCAUGUUCUCCUCAGAAGCAGUCACCUCACUCCCCUCAGGUUACUGUACACACGCAGCAACUGCAUGCUUCAGGUUUAGAUAGCGCUUCAUGGUUGUCUUUUGGAGAAAUGAGCAGUCAAGUUGUGUUUGAAAUUUGAUUUUUUUCAGGGGCAAAAGGAGCCUCUGCAUUCUUGUCAAAUAUGUAAAUAGCAUGUUUUUGCAGGUGCUAAAAACCAGACUCUGAGUGUGUGUGUGUGUGUGUGUGUGUGUGUGUGUGCGUGUGUGUGUGUCUGUGUGUGCGUUCAAGUCACAUGACAUAUUUAACCGGAUGUAGCUGCAAGACGGAGCCUCGUUGACUCUCCGUUUCAACUUAUCUCAAAAGUGAGGACCUCAACCUAUAUACCAGUUUUUAAAUUGUGUUGAUAGGCCAAAUAAAACCAGAGUUAUGAUAAAUUAUGUCCGCGAUACUUUUUUUCUGCUUAUUUUGAUCACGUUCGGCGCUCGAUCGCGCUGUAUGAGACAGGAAAACAUAGCAUGCAGACAUUAGCGACAGGUCUUACAGGCGGAAAAGGCUUGCCAAAAGAAAAAAAAAACACACCACAACAUCUCUCCUAUUGGUGGAAAACUUCACCACAACAACCAAUCCAAAAUUAUAUGGUGACUGAUUGACAAGGGGCGGGCGCUUAUGUUCUUCCUGCAAUAUGAGAAGGGAGGGAGGGACUCUCAGCAGGGAUGCAGUCUGGGACACGUAGUUGCAAACCUAGCGACUUUGUUGUUAGAUUCAAUGACUUUUCAGACCCCCUAACGACUUUUUUAGAAAGAAAGUGACUUUUAUCGACUUCUUCUGGAGUUUAGAGACUCUGACAUGAAGCAGGCUUUCCUUACUGAGGAGUUAGCAACGCUGCUAAGGGUGCAGAGCCACACAUGCGCUCCGAGCUCUGCAUGGGAGACUGAAGCUGACAGAGCUGCAGCAGUUAGCAGGUUUCACCCUCAGAGACCACCAGGGGUUCAUGUUGAGGCAUUUUCAGUUUUUUUUUUUUUUUUUGCCAUAGACACUGUCAGCACAAUCUGUAGUUACACUCACAAAAAUGCUGCAAAAAACAAAGAAUUAUGGAAAAAUUACACAUGGACUGACAUAGAGGAGGAUCUACACAAGUUUUUUACAUCAUGUUUUACAUCAUGCAUCAUUUACAUCAUGUUUUUUUGUAGUGGCAUAAAUAAAAAGUGACAUUUGUGAGACUAUACAGUGUUUUGUAAAUAAUUUUACAAAGAACGCCUGGGCCAUUGCCUGCAUUUUGAUGUAAAUAGAGGUAAAUUACUAUGUUCUUUGUUAAAAAUUUGCAUAUGUUUUGAAGUUUACAAUUUUUAUUUGAAGUUUAAGUUUUAAAAACAGUUCAUCACACAUAUUUGUGGUUUAAUUUCACAUUAAUUUCCACAUUGUAUAAAUGACUGGAAAAAACUUGAGCCCCUGCCCCUGUAUAAUCAUGUGCACGUCCCUGUUCUAGCUCCAAGGUGAAUCUUCACUGCUCAUGUUCUCCUCAGAAAUAGUCACCUCACUCCCCUCAGGUUACUGUACACAUGCACCAACUAUCUGCUUCAGGUUUGAAAUGGAGCUUCAUGGUUGUCUUUUGGAGAAAUGAACAGUCAAGUUGUGUUUGAAAUUUGAUUUUUUUCAGGGGCAAUAGGAAGCCUCUGCAUUCUUGUC
rnacentral:lncRNA from 1 species